rnacentral:rRNA from 1 species
GAUGAACGCUGGCGGCGUGCCUAAUACAUGCAAGUCGAGCGAACAGACGAGGAGCUUGCUCCUCUGAUGUUAGCGGCGGACGGGUGAGUAACACGUGGAUAACCUACCUAUAAGACUGGGAUAACUUCGGGAAACCGGAGCUAAUACCGGAUAACAUGUUGAACCGCAUGGUUCAACAGUGAAAGACGGUCUUGCUGUCACUUAUAGAUGGAUCCGCGCCGCAUUAGCUAGUUGGUAAGGUAACGGCUUACCAAGGCAACGAUGCGUAGCCGACCUGAGAGGGUGUUCGCCCACACUGGAACUGAGACACGGUCCAGACUCCUCCGGGAGGCAGCAGUAGGGAAUCUUCCGCAAUGGGCGAAAGCCUGACGGAGCAACGCCGCGUGAGUGAAAAAGGUCUUCGGAUCGUAAAACUCUGUUAUUAGGGAAGAACAAAUGUGUAAGUAACUAUGCACGUCUUGACGGUACCUAAUCAGAAAGCCACGGCUAACUACGUG